rnacentral:rRNA from 1 species
CCCUUAGAUGUUCUGGGCUGCACGCGCGCUACACUGACGCACGCAACAGGUGCCUGCUCCGAGAGGACUGGGUAAUCAUUUGAGUGUGCGUCGUGAUGGGGAUAGAAUAUUGUAAUUAUUACUCUUCAACGAGGAAUUCCUAGUAAGCGCCAGUCAGCAGCUUGCGCUGAUUACGUCCCUGCCCUUUGUACACAUCGCCCGUCGCUCCUACCGAUGGGUGAUCCGGUGAAUGAUUCGGACUUCAGCGGCUCCCCUGGGGUGCGCCGGAGAAAGUUUUGUGAACCUUAUCACUUGGAGGAAGGAGAAGUCGUAACA